UAUCCUGAUAGGACCCCAUCACUUAAUAAAACGUUUUCCUUUUACUGAAAAUGAUUUUUCUUUGCCUUAUCCCAGCGUACCGCUACUGCCAUUCCCUCUUCCACAGCCACUCAUUCCACUGGGAGGGAGGAUUCCGACCAGAUGAAAUCCACCGUUCAGGUCCGUCGCCGGCGGCAAGACCGGAGCUGUAUAUGGCCGUCCGUCUCCUACGCGCUUCGCUGCCCAGAGCUGUCACGGCUAGCGCCACCCGUCUCCGGCGCGCCGCCGCCAGGAGCUGCAGGGUUGGAAGGCGGUAAGGCAGGAGUCGCCGCCGCUCGCCUCCGGCACGCUGCGCGGCCUGGGGCCGUUGUCUUGGCUGGAGGCAAGGUGGGAUCCGUCACGGCUAGCUCCGCUCGGCUAAGGCGCGCUGCGCCACGCUCGGCCGUGGACUUGGCCGGCGGCAAGACGGGGCCGUCGCGGCUGUUGUCGUCCGGCUCCGGCACACUCAAGGCCAGCCAAAGGUUGUGGCUGACCCGCUCCCUGUAAGAUGGUGGCAUGGUGGAACUGCAGCGCGUGCAGCCGGUGGCCGAGAUUCCGCGGGAGGUUGGAUGAUCACAGUGGAAGAUGCGAACUCGAUGCAAGCUCAACAGGCAAAGGCGCAAGAACAUACCUGCGGACGAUGAAGUGGCAGGAGCGGACGAUGAAGUGGCAGGAGCUCCGUCCAUGCUAAAGAACACGGUAGAUGUUGAUCCACGGAGAGGACAAUUUCCUAUCAAACUUGAUCUAUAUAUUUUCCUUUGAUCCAGGGGCAACAAUUAACAAUGGAACAGAUUGGUAUGAGAGUAUGGAUGAAGCCACGAAGAGAUUUUGGCGGCAAUCUGUUGUUACGCGGGAGGGAAACAUGUGGUUUUGCUGAUUUUCUGGAAGCUAACUGCAAUUAGAAAGAUACCGGUUGUUUAAGUGGUGGGGUCGUACCAGGAUAGGUGUCGGCCACCUGUUGGCCCUGCACAAUAGUGCGUGCUGGGAACGAGAGCCCGACCCGGCGAUGGUCGAUGGGCGAAGGCGACAAAACAAAACGCUGCAGAGUAGUAGCGUUUUCAGGA